rnacentral:rRNA from 1 species
GAUGAACGCUGGCGGCGUGCCUAAUACAUGCAAGUCGAGCGAACAGACGAGGAGCUUGCUCCUCUGACGUUAGCGGCGGACGGGUGAGUAACACGUGGAUAACCUACCUAUAAGACUGGGAUAACUUCGGGAAACCGGAGCUAAUACCGGAUAAUAUAUUGAACCGCAUGGUUCAAUAGUGAAAGACGGUUUUGCUGUCACUUAUAGAUGGAUCCGCGCCGCAUUAGCUAGUUGGUAAGGUAACGGCUUACCAAGGCGACGAUGCGUAGCCGACCUGAGAGGGGUGGCGGCCAAAACGGAAAGUAAACAACGGGCAGGACCCCAACGGGAGGCAGAGGUGGGGAAUGUUCCGAAAGGGGGGAAAGCCUGACGGAGAACCGCCGGGGGAGAAAAGAAGGUCUUCGGAUCGAAAAACUCUGUUAUGGGGAAAGAACAAAUGGGUAAGUAACUGUGCAGAUCUGGACGUUCCCAAAUCAAAAAGCCCCGGCAAACUACGU